UCAUAAGGUAUCCGGUUACUCAAACAAGAUCCAUGUGCUAUUAAUGACUCCAAAACGUUUCAUUGAUAUACCAAUAAGUUCCUACUUCAUUGUUAUGGCAUUGAUGACUCCAAAACACUUCAUUGAUGUGCCAAUGAGUUCUUACUUCAUUGUUAUUGCAUUGAUGGUCUAUUUAUAUGUCUCUUAUUGAUGUAUCAUUGUUUCAAAGUAUCAAAAAUGCAGUGGCGACCGA
rnacentral:lncRNA from 1 species